rnacentral:rRNA from 1 species
GACGAACGCUGGCGGCGUGCUUAACACAUGCAAGUCGAACGGAAAGGCCCUGCUUUUGUGGGGUGCUCGAGUGGCGAACGGGUGAGUAACACGUGAGUAACCUGCCCUUGACUUUGGGAUAACUUCAGGAAACUGGGGCUAAUACCGGAUAGGAGCUCCUGCUGCAUGGUGGGGGUGGGAAAGUUUCGGCGGUUGGGGAUGGACUCGCGGCUUAUCGGCUUGUUGGUGGGGUAGUGGCUUACCAAGGCUUUGACGGGUAGCCGGCCUGGGAGGGUGACCGGCCACCUUGGGACUGCGAUACGGCCCAGACUCCUACGGGAGGCAGCAGUGGGGAAUAUUGCACAAUGGGCGGACGCCUGAUGCAGCAACGCCGCGUGCGGGAUGACGGCCUUCGGGUUGUAAACCGCUUUCGCCUGUGACGAAGCGUGAGUGACGGUAAUGGGUAAAGAAGCACCGGCUAACUACGUG